AGGGCAUACGGUGAAUGCCUUGGCACUAAGAGCCGAUGAAGGACGUGGUAAGCUGCGAAAAGCUACGGGGAGCCGCAAGCAGGCUUUGAUCCGUAGAUGUCCGAAUGGGGGAACCCACCAUCCGUCAUGGGAUGGUAUCCUUCGGGAAGGGAACCCGGUGAACUGAAACAUCUAAGUAGCCGGAGGAAGAGAAAUCAAACGAGAUGCCCACAGUAGCGGCGAGCGAAGAGGGCAGAGCCUAAACCAGAGAGCUUCGGCUCCCUGGGGUUACGGACUGGCAUAAACCGAGUCAGGCCUAGCUGAAUCACCUGGAAAGGUGAGCCACAGACCGUGAGAGCCGGGUAGGCGAAAGGCAGAGCAAGGGGGCCAGUAUCCAGAGUACCGCGAAGCACGAGGAAUUUUGCGGGAAGUCGGGGGGACCACCCUCCAAGGCUAAACACUUCUUAGUGACCGAUAGCGCAUAGUACCGUGAGGGAAAGGUGAAAAGAACCGCGGGAGCGGAGUGAAAGAGAACCUGAAACCGUAUGUCUACAAGCAGUCGGAGCGCAAGCGACGGCGUGCCUAUUGAAGAAUGAGCCAACGAGUUACGGGCACCAGCGAGGUUAAGCAGAAAAUGCGGAGCCGUAGGGAAACCGAGUCUGAAAAGGGCGGAUAGUUGGUGUUCGUAGACCCGAAACUGUAGUGAUCUACCCAUGAUCAGGUUGAAGCACGGGUAAAAUCGUGUGGAGGACCGAACCGGUGAGUGUUGAAAAACUUUCGGAUGAAUCGUGGGUAGCGGUGAAAUUCCAAUCGAACGCAGAGAUAGCUGGUUCUCCUCGAAAUAGCUUUAGGGCUAGCCUCAGGCAGUAAGCAUAGGCGGUAGAGCACUGAUCGGGAUAGGGACUGUAAUGGUUACCGAACCCUGUCAAACUACGAAUGGUUAUGCUGCAGAGCCUGGGAGUCAGACUACGAGAGAUAAGUCCCGUUGUCAAAAGGGAAACAGCCCAGACCAUCAGCUAAGGUCCCCAAUGCCAUACUAAGUGGAAAAGGAUGUGGGGUCUCAUAAACAACCAGGAUGUUGGCUCAGAAGCAGCCACCAUUUAAAGAGUGCGUAAUAGCUCACUGGUCGAGAGGCCCUGCGCCGAAGAUUCCCGGGGCUAAAGUAUGGAACCGAAGCUAUGGAUGCAUACGUAGGUAUGCGUGGUAGAGGAGCGUUCCCAUCGGGUUGAAGUCGUCCUGGAAGGGACGGUGGACUGGUGGGAAGUGAGAAUGUUGGCAUGAGUAGCGAAAAGAAUGGUGAGAAUCCAUUCCACCGAAAGCAUAAGGAUUCCUGAGCAACGAUCGUCGUCUCAGGGUAAGUCGGGACCUAAUCCGAGGCAAAGAGCGUAGGAGAUGGACAACUGGUUGAUAUUCCAGUACCGGCAGUGAUCGUUUGAACGAAGGAGUGACGCAGGAAGGCAGGUCCGCACGAGAUUGGUAGAUCGUGUGCAAGCGUGCAGGCUGGUUACCAGGCAAAUCCGGUAACUGAGGCUGAGGCGUGAUGCGGAGGGAACUUGUUCCCGAAGGGAUUGAGCCUACGCUGCCGAGAAAAGCUUCUAGUGAGAAAGCUGCCGCCCGUACCGUAAACCGACACAGGUAUGCGGGGAGAGAAUCCUAAGGUGCGCGGGAGAACCCUCGUUAAGGAACUCGGCAAAAUGUACCCGUAACUUCGGGAUAAGGGUAGCCACAAAGGUGAAGGGACUAGCUCCCGGAGCCCGGUGUGGUCGCAGAGAAGAGGCCCAAGCGACUGUUAACCAGAAACACAGGUGCCUGCGAAAGAGAAAUCUGAAGUAUAGGUGCUGACACCUGCCCAGUGCUGGAAGGUUAAAGAAGGAUGUCCGGGUUCGACCCAAAGCAUUCGACUGAAGCCCCAGUGAACGGCGGCCGUAACUAUAACGGUCCUAAGGUAGCGAAAUUCCUUGUCGGGUAAGUUCCGACCCGCACGAAAGGUGUAACGAUUUGGGCACUGUCUCAACGAGGGACCCGGUGAAAUUGAAAUACCUGUGAAGAUGCAGGUUACCCGCGACUGGACAGAAAGACCCCAUGGAGCUUUACUGUAACCUAAUAUUGGGUUCUGAUACUUGAUGCACAGGAUAGGUGGGAGGCAUGGAAGGCAGUCCUCUGGGAUUGCCGGAGCCGACGUUGGGAUACCACCCUUCAAUUAUCGGGAUUCUAACCGAGCGAGUAACGAUCGCCGGGACAGUGUUAGGCGGGCAGUUUGACUGGGGCGGUCGCCUCCCAAAGAGUA
rnacentral:rRNA from 1 species